CUGUGCAGACCAUUGCAGAUGACAGGGGUGGAGCAGAGGCUGUGACUUUCUGGGCUGGUUCAAAUACACCAUUAUGGGUUCUACAGAGAAUAAUGGUGGCUGCCUCUUUCUAGAGGUCAAGGAAUGUUUCCUGGAGGAGGCAGUGUUUGAGCUGGAGGCUCACACUGAAGAGACCUACGUGGAAGGAAACAGAAGGUUUGGGCUGGGUCUCCAAGGCCAUGUCUCAAGGAAGAGAAAGCAGUCUUUGUAGAGCUGUCAGAGCCCAGAGCCGACCGUGUUCCCAAGAACAGAGCAGUGGCUAGACCAAAUAUCAAAUGUUUCGACAAAAAAGGACUUUGCUAUCAAAUAUGUUUGGGGAAUUCUAGGUAAGACAAAGUUAAACAGUUUUCUGUUUAUUUGUUUUACUUAUUUGAACCUUGUAACUUUCUAAGACAGAAACAUGAUAGGCAGGAUCUCUCUAAUUUUUUUGAGCACAGGAACUCGCUCUUCCCCCAAGGAGCAAUUCUCAGAGCUGAUGUUCCAAAGAACAUACAAACAUUGUCCAAAACAACUUUGUCAGAUGCCUUCUGCCUUUCCACCCCAAGUCUGUCUCUCUUUUCAUUUUUCCGAUCCUUUUCUGCAGCCCGGAUUCUGUAGGGAGACAUCUGGAGCCUCAAGAAGACCCUUCCUCAGCCCAGUAGGAUUUCUGCAAGUGGUAUAGGUUUAGGCAUGUAAUGAAUUUAGAUUUAAUUUGCAAGUGAAAAAGCUUGCUUUCUUUUGUAGCUUACACCAAAGCUCAAA